ACAGUGACGCGCCACCAUGCCCGGCUAAUUUUUGUAUUUUUAGCAGAGACGGGGUUUCACCAUCUUGCCCAGGCUGCUCUUUAACUCCUGACCUCGUGAUCCACCCACCUCGGGCUCCCAAGGUGCUGGGAUUACAGGCGUGAGCCACCGCGCCCGGCCAAAACAAACACUUUUACGACAAUUGAAAAAUAGAAGUUUCCAAUUCAAUUUUGCAACUAAAAAAUAAUAAUAAUGUGGUGCCUUCAUGUUAAACUUUGGAAAAAGCCAGGGAAGUGGCUUGCUCUGGUGAAUAAAUUCUGUAGACCCUUAAGGCUGUUCGCAGCGUACACCAAGACUUCCGAGGCAAGUGGGGGCUCCCCCUGGCGGCUGCGCCGGGUGGCUGCUCCGGGAUUGUGCGGACCUCCGAGCUACACCGUCUCCAACCAACAGAAGCCAGCAGGAACCUGCCUUAGAUGUGGGAAUGAGACAACACAACUUCUCCCAUAGGCCUGGUGGUCAGAGAGGCUGGAUCAAGAAUCUCCACAGCCCAGCGAGAAGCCACGCGAACACACCCCUGUGUGGGUAUCCGUGACCUGGCGGCCUGCAGAACUCCUGGGCCAGAGACGUCCUCAUCCUGUUGGAAUAUCCAGGUAUCUCCACUCCGAAUAUCCUCAUCUUCCUGGAACCCCUCUUUUUCUCCUAACAUUCUCUUAAAUGAAAUUCCAUAUCUGCUACAACACAGAAAGAGAGGCGGAACAAGAAAAACUGGUGAUCCACUAAUAAGAAGGCCCUGGAGCCUCUCGAUGUUUAAUCUUCUCAAGGGAUGAGAAUGUGUCUCGUACUUCUCAGCAUCUGAAACGCAGCCUUCGCUAAUGGGUCAGUUUCACUGGACGUACUCCCAGGAUCAUAGAUGGCAGCCGGGGAAGGCAGUGAGGGUGGAAAUGUCUCACUAGGCUGAAUUGAAGUGAGGCCUACCCGUUGCCUCCUUUGCAUGUGUUUAAGUAUUAGAAGAAUCUAGUAAUUUGCCCAUAAGAGAUAAUCAAACAAGAAAACAAAGGUGUAUGUGCAAAGAUUUGAAUCUUAGCUUUAUUUGAAAUAACAGAAAAUUGGAAGUCAAUUCAUGUCCAUCAGCGUGGGGCUGGCCACCUGCCAAUUCAUGUCCAUUUCCCUGGAGGGAAAUGACCCAACCAUGGAGAGAACGAUGUUCACUGAUUGCAUUGGCGUGGCAAGAACUCCAUGGCAUGUUGCAUCAUGAAGAAAGCUGCCCCGCAAAAUGAGAUGCGAUUGACGUUGAUGUGUCUGUACUUGUGCAAAGAGAGAUUUGGGAAAGGAAGUUUACUGAAGUGUUAACAAUGGGUUACAAGUUUUGAAGUGAUUUUAAUUUCUUUUUUUUUAAGUUUCUGUUAGGCUGGGAUUUUCCCCAUAGAUAUGCAUCAUCUAUGUCAGCAAUCCCCAACCUUUUGGGCACCAGGACAGGUUUCGUGAAAGACAAUUUUUCCACGGACCAGGAGUGGGAGGGACGGUUUCAGGAUGAUUCAAGCACAUUACGUUUAUCAUUAGAUUCUCACAAGGAGCAUGCAAGCUAGAUCCCUUGCAUGCCCAGUUCACAAUAGGGUUCGUGCUCCUAUGAGAAUCUGAUGUUGCCACUGGUCUGACAGGAGGUGGAGCUCAGCUUCGCUCACUUGCCCCACCACUCACCUCCUGCUGUGCAGCCCAGUUCCUAACAGGCCACAGACCAGUAUACCAGUCUGUCACCUGGGGGUUGGGGAUCCCUGAUUUUUGUAAUUGGAAGUAAAGUUGUUCGCAUUACUUUAAAAUAAAGACAGUACCAUCGUU